rnacentral:rRNA from 1 species
AUGCUUCACACCGGCAAAGCUGAUCAUCUGGGCGGAGCACUCUACGCCUCCCGUCCUCCUCGCUACACACACCUCCCCGACGCCACGCACGACUCCCGCCGCCCAAUGAUCGCCGGCCAGCCCGACGCCACAUUCGUCCACGGCGGCGUGGGCGUCCACUCCGCCGCGCCGGAGUCGUGGAUGGUGUCUAACUCCGGCCACAAGAGGAAAGCAUCCACCCACCUCCGGGAGGCGGCGGACCGGCCCGUCGCGCGGCAACGAGGAGUCCAGCAAGACAAUGGCACAUUGGCAUGCCUCGCGGGACAAAUCGUGCGCGCCGUGGUGCCCUCGGCUUCGUCAUCUGAACAAAUUGUUGAACUCGGCGACGCGGCGGUGUCCAUGAACGACCGGACACGCGUACGCGCCGAGGCUAAGACCACCAUCCUCCACAGCGACCAGCCGCUGUCCAAGAACGGCUGCGGCACGAUGAAGCAGCCCAUAGUCAUCCAUGACGACGACGACGACGACGACUUGUCGCUGCCAGCCGUCGACAUGGGGCUCGGCGAGGGCAACGGCGGCUUCCCCUGCCCAGAACCAGAACCCGCGCAGCUGGCGUUCGAGGAUAACGAGCUCACCAACCCCUUCGGAUACUCGACGUGGGACCCGACCGAUGGUGGCCGCUACGAGUUGCUGUCGACGUACCUGCCUCCUCCGUGCCUGGACCCCGACGAGGAGGACGCCCUGCGAGCGGCGGCGGCCCUCCGCUCGUCGUCUCUCUACCUCUCACCGGCUGACAUAUUCUGGGGCACCCAGGAUGGGGUCUGGAUGCCGUAUUCAUCAGAGUCUAGAUGUUGA